rnacentral:rRNA from 1 species
GUGGAUGAGGCAUGCAAGUCGAACGAAACCACAGGGCAACUUGUGGUUUAGUGGCGGAAGGGUUAGUAAUACAUGAAUAACUUGCCUCUAACCUGGGGAUAACGACUGGAAACGGUCGCUAAUACCGAAUGAGGUCUAAGGGAGGAGUCUCUUUUAGAUCAAAGUAGGGGACUUGGAAACAAGCCUUGCGGUUAGAGAGAGGUUCAUGGGAUAUCAGCUAGUUGGAGUGGUAACGGCACACCAAGGCUAAGACGUCUAGGCGGAUUGAGAGAUUG